rnacentral:lncRNA from 1 species
AUCCCUGGGUUCGCUCGGUGUUGAUUCCUACUCCCAACUUAAUAGACACUGAACUAAUUUCUAAAAUGUACUAGGCUUGACUGAACUAUUGUUGAUCGUGUUGUCUAUCUGAACUGGACUGAGUUCACUGUGUUCUGAUAACUGAUUGAAUACUCUAGGUUCUGUUUACUAGCUGAAAGUACUAAGUUCUAUUAGUUGUCUGAGUACUACUGGAUGUGACAUCACUGAGACUAUUCUGAAACUACUGUAAAUCUAGGUAAAAAUCUAGAUUGUCAGGUAUUAGAUACCCCCA